rnacentral:rRNA from 1 species
AUUGAACGCUGGCGGCAUGCUUUACACAUGCAAGUCGAACGGUAACAGGCCUUCGGGUGCUGACGAGUGGCGAACGGGUGCGUAAUGCAUCGGAACGUGCCCAGAGGUGGGGGAUAACGCAGCGAAAGCUGUGCUAAUACCGCAUGUGAUCUGAGGAUGAAAGCGGGGGACCAGGCAGCAAUGUUUGGCCUCGCGCCUUUGGAGCGGCCGAUGUCAGAUUAGGUAGUUGGAGGGGUAAAGGCCUACCAAGCCGACGAUCUGUAGCUGGUCUGAGAGGACGACCAGCCACACUGGGACUGAGACACGGCCCAGACUCCUACGGGAGGCAGCAGUGGGGAAUUUUGGACAAUGGGCGCAAGCCUGAUCCAGCAAUGCCGCGUGCGGGAAGAAGGCCUUCGGGUUGUAAACCGCUUUUGUACGGAACGAAAAGGCUCUGGCUAAUACCUGGGGCUGAUGACGGUACCGUAAGAAUAAGCACCGGCUAACUACGUG